rnacentral:rRNA from 1 species
ACUUAAAUUGAAGAGUUUGAUCAUGGCUCAGAUUGAACGCUGGCGGCAGGCCUAACACAUGCAAGUCGAGCGGUAGCACAGAGAGCUUGCUCUCGGGUGACGAGCGGCGGACGGGUGAGUAAUGUCUGGGAAACUGCCUGAUGGAGGGGGAUAACUACUGGAAACGGUAGCUAAUACCGCAUAAUGUCGCAAGACCAAAGUGGGGGACCUUCGGGCCUCAUGCCAUCAGAUGUGCCCAGAUGGGAUUAGCUAGUAGGUGGGGUAACGGCUCACCUAGGCGACGAUCCCUAGCUGGUCUGAGAGGAUGACCAGCCACACUGGAACUGAGACACGGUCCAGACUCCUACGGGAGCAGCAGUGGGGAAUAU